GCUUGAGAUCAGCCAUAGUUGAAUGUCUGAUACUUGAAGUCAUGUUUGAGCUGUGUAUGAUAGAGGAAGUGAGGUGGAAUGACCAGCAAGUGCCUAUUAUCCAGGUGGAUGUGGAGAAGUCCCUUUUUAACCACAGUUAGUAUUGCAUAAUAAAAUGUGACUGUGAGAAGCAAUAGUCUGUUGUUAUUGCUCUGUGUACUGACUCUGAAACUACGUUGGUCCAUCUCCAUUAUUUCAGAAUGGACAUGUCUACUUGCUUGGAAGGGUGGGCCAGUAAGAAGUUUGAUUUCUCCAUGUUUACUAUGCAUCUGGCACUUGCUGGAUUCUUUCAUUAAGGUAUCCCUUGCUCCUGUGGUUACAAGAUAGAAAAUAUUGUAGUGAGAGGUGUGACAGGUUUACGACACGAAAAUAUACGAAAAUGAACAAAUGAUUUUGCCGAACACAAUGAAAGUUAGCAAGAACUAAAGCUUCUUUGGAGAACUAGUGAUAUUUAUAUAUUUCUGAAGGAUAUAGGAUUUUUCAGCCCAUGUGACAUAUGGAGCCAUGGAAUGCAAUGAUUAGCCACAAUUGUAACCUUUUAGCAUCUGUACAUUUUGUCUGAUGACCUUUACAUUUUGACAGAAUUAUUUGGGUGAGUUUUGCUGUUCACUCUUAAGGCUAUUAUAUAAUGCAGGGUAAGUAGGUUUGUUAUCUUACUUUUUCUACAGAAUUAAAAAUGCAAGUCUGUGAUAAUUAUAUUGUCUGGACAAUAAUAUUGUUCUGUUUGUACAUAUUAAGUUCCAGAUUAUUGUAGUGUGUAAAUGUUUAAGAGUAUGGCAUAAUAUUGUCAAAUCAUGAAAAUAUAAUUAGUGUCUCUGGACUUUGUGACUCUAAAGGGGUGUAACAAUAGAACCUUGCAAUCAGUAUUGCUAUUUUUCUAGGCUUGAUCCAUUAUUUGGUAUUCUGAAAUGAGACCACUACAUUUUGGUAACUGGCUCUGUUCCCAUCUUCAGGUAAAAGUACCUAUUUCCUUGGGUCUAGUAGAAGGGGCUAAUCCCAAUCCUGGUGUCAUGAUCCUUUCAUUGGACCCAACAGAAUAUGUCUUUUCACAUAGAGAUGAGAACAGAGACAGCUCCUGAAAUGUAGUGCUGUUUUGGAAUAUUGAAUAAUGGAGCAAGUCCAGAAAAACAGUAGUAUUGAAUUGAACAACAUUUUUGAAAUUGGAUCUCUUUAAUCCUGGAGUGAAAUGUGGAAGUACCUACUUACUGAGUUGGGUCUCUUAAAAACAGAAAAGCUGAAGAGCUGGACUCUCAAAUUAUCAUGAACAGACUUGAUCUUAGACUGGUUAUGGGUUUCUUGGUGACUGAGAUUAACUGUUCAUAAUGUACCCAGCUGAGUGGGUACUUCCCAUGUUUCACCUGAGGACAGAAAUAUCCAGUUUCUGAAACCUUGUAUUCUUUUCAAAAUACCAGAUGGUGGACAAAACCAAGAAAUCCAGCAAUACCAAUUGUUAUAUACCAUUAUCAUAACUUUGCAGUUCAUUUGUAUAACCAUUAGCAUAUACAUAAAUAGUUGUUAUUCUGAAGAGAAAUUAGCAAGGUUUUUAGUUGUAGUUGGGUUUAACCACAGAAAUUAGAAGACUAGUAUGUGCUGCAUUUUGGAAAAGGUAGUGCAUAUACUUUUGUGGCCUAAUUUUGUAUUCUGGACUUCACAAAAAAUUAUAUUUCACAAGAUGUUACUUGUCACGUUUUUAGAAUGGAACUGAAGUAACAAUACUGUUGAGUUGGAAUCCAUGUUUAAUUUGGUUUUAGGAGGGAGUAAUAAUCCUUCAUCUGGUACAUUAGUGGUCUGGCCAUCUGUGUAUGUAUACUUUUCUUGGUUUAUAAAUAUGGCUGAACACACCAGAACAAAUUUUUAACACAUUUUUUUGGUUGACUUUAUUACUAGAUGUGUUCCCUCAAAUUGAUUAGUGUUCAUGUCCAGAUAUAACAUUCAUUUGUUUUGGAAAAUGUACCUGUUUCCUCUAGCCAGGAUGCAUACACAUCUGUUUUAAUUGUUGGUGUGCAUAAACUGUGUCGGAAAUUUACAUUGAAGAGCAUAUGUCUCUUGUUAUUACAUCUUAUUCUAACAAGAAGAAGGGUAAUGAGUGAAUUUAUUAGUAAAGCCUACUUGAGCUGCAUCACAAGUGUAAUGACCAUCAGACACAUCAAGAUACUUUAAUUGUGCUUAAAGGAAUUGAAAUUAAGCAGUGGAUCUGUACAAAUUGUAAAUAGUUGCAAGGAGGGAAAUAUUCCUUGCCCCCAUUUGUACCAGUUGUUGUGUAUAUUAAAGUAAAUGUUUGUCGUAUCAUUAUUGAUACGGUUUUGUACAUGAAAGCUUAUCACAUGGGCUGAUAUGUGGAUGUAAUAAUCACAUAGGUUUCUUUGUAAGUUUGAAAACAUACAAAAUACAUUAGUGAGGAAGACUUGUAAAGUAUUAAUAGGUAUAAUGAUCUUAUAAGUGUCUGAAGUUCAGCUUUGUGUGCUAUGUCUGGCUGUCAUCACUUUAUAACAGACCUGUAAAAUGCUCCUUCAGUAAUGUAUAAUUGUUACAACAUUCAUUUGUAUUCUGCCUCAAAGUUACAAGGUCUUGUGUUGAAUUGGCGACUGAAAUUGUUUUUUAAAAGGAAAGAAUAUUAUGUUUUAAUGCCAUACUUUGUGUUCAGAUGGCAUAGGAAAGUUUCGGUAAUUUGGAAACAUUGACCUUUUAAGUGAAACUGUGCACACAUAUUUUAUCCAGCUCUUUGUCAUGAUUUUCAUGUAGCCUCAUGAUGCACAUAGCAUCAUUUUGUCUCUCCCCCCUCUCAGAAGACGUCUUUGUAUAAGACCAGUAGGUAUAUAUUAUACCUUGCAUUGUGGAUGCUAAGUGAAGUAUUUUAAACAAAAUGAUAUAACUUCCUGUUAUUAUAACGCGUUUGAAUUUGUGUGAUGGGGAAACAAAACAUUGGUAUUUUACAUUGAUUUGGAAAGGUAAUAUUUCUUUAAUUUGCAGGUAGUUUGCUUUUUAUGUAGUUUGUAGUUUUGAAAUCUUAGUGUCAUGAGUUUACUGUUCAAUGGCUAAAACUGCAGUCUAUAGCUACAUCAGUUAGUUGAAGUUCCUAGUCUAUAGGAUUUGAUAAUUUUAGGUAAAAAGCAGAACAGUUUCAUAAAUAAACAUUUAUUUAUAAAUCUUUUAUUGAAAUAUGUUGGUUAUGUAUGACCAGGACUGUAGUUGGUCCAAGCUGGUGCCCCAAUGCUUUUUGAGAACCAACAAGCCAUCCUGGCAUGCCUUUUAAUGAUAGUUAAUGUCAAACAUACGUAGUACAGUCUAAGGGUCAGUGAGUAUGAGUUCCCUUCUAAAAUAUAAGAUAUGAAAUACACAUCUUUAAAAAAAUAUUAUGUAGUAUAAAUGCCAGACAAAAUUUUGUGUAUAUUUUGUGAUCUAUUUAUCAUUCAUUUAUGAAUUUAAAAGUGUAAAGCUAUUAUUAAGUAACAACAAGAAUGGCCUUAUGUUAAUUUAUUACCAUUACUUUAAACCUAGAAUUGUGAUCCAGACCACUUUGCCAUGUUUUGAGGAUGUUAUCAUAUAAAUAUUUUCUGGGAUGGAAUGUUCAAAGAAAAUUUUGUCACUCUGCAUUUGCAUCAUUCAAAACUUUCCUAUUUUUCAUGUGAUGGGAUGUACUGAAGCAUCUUAAAACCAACAGGCACCAUUAUUGUCAUUCAUCAGGGUUACGUUUUACAUAAAUUGUCUUGAAAUUAAUCAGCUCUUCAAUUUCUUGAAUGGAUAUAACCAUCUUCAGAAUAAUGUUACUAUUUGAAUACCACUAAAUUUAUUUUCCCUGUUGUCACUCAAUGAAUUGUACUUUAAUUUGAUGACACAUUAUGACAGUAGUAAGAUUAAAAAUUGAAAUAUUUGGUAUUUCUAUAUAAUUUAUACAUUAUUUCUUUGAAGUUUUGAUGACAAAAAUUUAUUUUGGUGAUUGGAAUAAUUUUCUAAAUAUAGAUUUUUGUUGGUGAAAAACAGUUUAAAGACUUGCAGAAGUAUAAUUCAGGUACCAUUUAGUUUGUGUCUGUGAUAUGUAGAAUACCACAUGUUUGUAUACUUGUUUAUUGCUUGAAUGGUUCAGUUGAUAAUUCAUAUUUGGCAUUUAAAAGCAGGCACUUACAUAUUAUGAUUUUAGUUUUAGUUUUAACCACUGUAUUACAUGCCUUCUGUACUAGGUCAAAGCAAAGGGAUUUUGCAUUAUAGAAAAACUGUCCACAGCAUGUUUGCAAACUCAUUAGACUAGCAGAUAAGAAAAAGGCAGUUGGUGUUAAAGAAGUCAUGUACUUUUGUCUUAGGUAUAAUUGAACUAUACUUUAUGUUCAUUUGUCAUGAUCAUAUUUUAACAAUGCAAGAACAACACAACUAUACUUUUCACAAAGAAUUUAAUUGCAGAAGGAAGUCUGAAUUCACUAUUGACCAAGUGAGUUUGGAAUAUUUAUAAGUCAAAAAUGCUCUGCACAGUCAUUAAUUCCACUCGCUGUGAGCUUAUGUGAACUUGAAGAAAAGCUAAAUGAAUGCAUGAAAUUAAAAAUAUUCAAAUAAUAUGCCAAUGAAAUUCAGAGUAGGAAACUGACAUGGUGUGGGAUAGAUUGACAGUUUUAGCCUAUUGUAUUUUGUCACCAUUCACAAGUUAUUUUAUAAACGCAAAUUUUGGCUGUGAUAGAGUCCUUAUCAUUUUGUGAUGAUAUUGACUUUGAAAGGAAGUAAUAUCAUUGAUUCAGAUAAGAGCUGUCACUCCAUUUUAUAUAGGAUAGUGUAAUAAAUGUAACACAUUACUCUUUUUUGUCAUUUUAUUGUAAACAAUAUCAAUCAUAGACUUUAAUUUUUAACCUCAAGACAUUUUGAUUUGUGAUUGAUGCUUUAUGUUAACACCAUUGUUUCUUGCCACUUCUGUUUUCAGGUGUAAAUAGCCAUUUGUCCACCUUACAUAUCCUCUCUGUCCCAUUCAUUAUCUUAACACUUUUAUUUGGAAUUUGUAUUUCUUAACCUGAUUCGUGAUAAGUAUAGAAGUGUAUGCAGCUAGCAUUAAGAGUUUUGGUGUUGGAAUUAUGCAAGUCUAUUAAAUGUGACUUCUUUCUGUUGAUAGUGGAGGAGUUCCACAUUGAAGUGAUAUGAUGAAUUUGAAAAGAGACCAUUAUUAGAUUGAUUUCUACCUAGGUUAUUGAAACAUGAGUCUGGAAGGAUGCUUCAAGAAUGUUAACUCAUACUCAUGUUAUAGUUCCAAAGGAACUAUUCAUUCUUUGUAACUCUGUUACUGACUUUCACAUGUCUGCCUAUUCACUGUUUAAAAUGAAUACCUUGAUAAUUAUGGACACCAAUUGCUCGGUUCUUGUAAACCCCAGCAUGAACAGCAUGCCGUUAGGAGACUGUUCAUCAUUGGUUUUUGCAGUGUUUUUGAGCAUGUUUAUUUUAUUUUGAAGUAUGUUCUGUCUUAAUUAGAAUGUCUAAGGUCUUGUCAUCCAAGAACCAUAAAAUUUACUAUGUCAACAGGUAGGUGUAGUGUUUCACAUUGUUCUUCUUCCAGAAGUAUCCAGGAAGCAUAUAGUGGUCAUGAAGGGUUGAAACAUUAUAUAAGUGGUACUGUUUGUUGCUUGAUUUACAUAUAUGUCAUUCAUGUGAAUUGACAGAGAAAUGCAGUUGAUACAUAACCCUUCACAGUUUAAAAAUCCGGAAAUGAAAGACAGACAUCCAUGACUUGCAAGAUUCCAUACAGUUGCUUAUCUUAUUCAGCUGCUCUAUCAAUUACAUUCAAAAUUAUGUAUUUCGUACAAAAUAUGUUUCAGUUUUAUGGCUCCAAUUAUAUUUUAAUUAGUAAAAAUAUUUUGUGAAUCUUUCAUAAACCAAAUUCUUUAAACUGGUAAAACAGGAAUAAAUGCUCAAUUUCAAAAGUUUAUUUGUGUGUUAAAUUAAGGGGUUUGUAUCAUUUAUGGCGAAAUUGCUCAUAACAUAUCACAAUAUUAUAUGCUUGGAUGUUUUAUUAGCACAACUAGAGUUCCAAAUUAUGUCACUAUUAUAAAUGUAAUGGAAUCACCCUCUUACUUUUGAAUGAUGAAAAUUCUGUAUCAUGAAUAUGAGUGCUGAAUUUUUUGCAGGUUUCAGAAGCAAAAAUUUUAUAAAGAAUUUUGAUCUCAUUGUCAGUAUUUUGUCAUUGUAAAAUUGCAUAGAGAAAUUUCAUUUAUAUUUCAUAGGAGAUAAAAAGGGAUUAAUGGUUGAUAAAAUUUCCUUACAAAAACUCCAGAAUUUGAGAAACCUGCAUCUAUCUAAUUUAGCACUUAUAUUGUGCUCAUAGUUUCUCAGAUCUAUUGUGACUGAGGAAUUUGAAUUAAAUAUUGUAUAUUAAAUGUAAAUACAAGUCCUUUCAGUUGAUGAUGGAAAAGAGAAAAUGUUUGAGACAAACAGGGAUUGUUUCAAGAUUGUACAGUUUUGCAAAAGGAUUUUAAAAAAAUAUAUAUGAAGAUGCAGUAUUUUUCAGAUAUCUUCGUAAAUGCAACAUUACCUGACUUGUUUCUGUAAAGGAUUCUAGGAUAUUUUUUUGUAAUUGUAAAGCAGGGAUGUCCAAGGAAAUAGGCAUGCUUUUUCAACACACUGGCAUGCAAUUUUGCCUCAAAACUGUACUUUACAGUGAUUGGUUAAUUUCUCAGUUCACCAAAAAUUUAAUUCUGUGUCUUAAUUAUGAAAUAUGGUUUUAUAUGAAUUCAGAGUAUUGCCAUAAAAAUUGGAUUAAAUUAUUUAUAGUUCUGUUAGUACAAAUAUAAAUUUGACUGAAUGCAUAUCACACUUAUCAUCAUCAUCUUUACUUCAGUACAUAGAUAUUUUGUUCUGACUUCAGCUUCUGACACAUUUAUAAAAACCAAAAUUAAAUUUAAGCAAAAUGAAAAUUAGUAUGUUAGUAGUGUGUAAUAUAUUUUUGGAAGUAGAGUUAUUGAAACUGCAGAUGACUGGCAGUGUUCAUUUUCUUACCAUUUAGCUUGUAAUAUUAUAUUGUUCACACUUUACCAACAGCUUUUUACUCACUGUUUGCUUUUAUUAUUACACAUGCAUUCCCAUCCUGUGAAACCAUUUUUGGUGCCUUACUCACCUAGCAUCUUUCAUUGGUGUCAUUUUAUUAAAUAAUUUUGAGUCUCGUAUUUGACGUGCAGUAAUCUGCCCUCAUUCUGUAAUAUAACUCUGUUGUUGUUUGAAUCUCUGAAUUUUUGCAUUACUAGUUUCAGACAAUCAUUUGAGUCUAAGCAGUGUGAUUUAGUGAUUCGGAUGUCAUGUUUGAGGUAUAUUGUCACCAAGUGUAAAGAAUCACUACAUCAGAUGCAAGUAAAUAAGAGACAAGGUGAUUAUAAUGCUGAUAUGUAAUAGUGUAUUGAAGUACACGUUGAACUUCCACAUAGAGUCGUGUAAACAUUUCAAUUCAGAGGUUCAAGUAUCAGUUAGGUUAUAAUAUAAGACCAAAGAAAUCACUAUGCAGUACAUUAGAUACAGAUAGGUAAAGAAUUGUCUGAUAAUGUGAAAGCAGCUAGUCCACAAUAUUAGUUGAGUAAGAUACUGAUGAUGGUCUCAUAGGAUCAGAGAAUGUAUGUAAUAACCAAAGUAAAAGAUGCAGUGACUUUUUAAGUUUUCUUUGGCAAAUGUUACAUUUUUCAGCUUCAGGUUGAAUAUUUCUGGGAAUGUAGAGGAGCCCACUUCCCUGAUUCUACCUUCUUAUCUUGCUUCACUUUUUCACUUCACCAUCCUAAAUUCAUAUUUUUUGUCACCUUUUUUCUGAACCACGCAGUCACUCUGUAUUAGAUAAUUGCAUGAUUCAACUCUCAGUAUGUAAUAUCUUUGUAAGGACUCUCCUACUCUCCCACAGACAUUCACCCUGAAUAUGGCAGCUGUAUUGUUUACCAAAACAUUGGGAGACAUUUAGCAGUUGACUUGGAUUAUCUUCAAAAGCUGAAGUGUUACAUAAAUAUGUAAACUGUAAAAUUUGGAAGUUCAGAACCAUGGCUGCCUAUCUCAUAUGUACCUGGUAAUAGUGAUCUGAGUCCAGUUGCAGGUGGUGAUUAUGAGUACCAAGAACAGACUUCACACUAGCUCGCGGUAUGGCUGAGGAAAGAAGUGCACUUCCUGAUGAACAGGCGUACCAACAUUACUGUGCUUGGACUAGCUUUUAUAGAGGACAGAUGAGUGUCAACAUGUAAAACUAAACCUGUGAAGAUUCUUGGGGUAUAAACAAUAUCAUAUAUAGUCCAUCAAACACCAUGUAAUAGGCACUGUGCAUUUCAUGCACAGUGCCUGUUACAUUUUUUUAUAUACAUUGCUUGAGUUUUAAUCUCCAGUAACAAGUAAUCAUGACUGAUUCUUUGGUUCUUUAAUAGUGCAUUGAAUGGGAUGCAAAAAAUACUUUAUGGACUGUUGAUAAAUAUAAGAUGGCUGUCUUCUCUGUAGUUGUGCCAUGUAGUCAGAAGUUUGCCAGUGCCCAAAAGAUGGCCAUCUUUAUGCUUGCUGCUGUGACUUUUGGUAAAUGUUUUACAUGAUUUAUUGCAAAUGAAAGUAAGUAUGUUCCUGUUGUAAUGCGAGAGUGGCUACUGUUUAAUGUCAUUACUUUUAGUAUUAUUGUGAAGUUUGAUUCUUUAAUACCAAUACUUCUCUUCAGAAAUUCCUGUUUAUGAAAAAAAUAAACUAUUGUUAGAGUCAGAAAUAAUUUACUGAUAUGAGUGAAUAUUUAAAGAAAUUCUCUAAUGUCAUGAAAUUAAAGAGUUAAAAGGAAUAUAUUUUUUUCCCCUAUAUCUUUCAUUCUGCAAGUGAAUUGUGCACAUUGUGAAGGGAUAUUUCAUAUGCAAGUACAUACAAUUUUGUUGGCAUUGCCCAUUGUUAGUGAUAAAUUUUAUCAUUCUUACAUUGGCUUCUUGAUGUAGAAAGUUGUUUAUUUACACAGCAUUUAAGUAAGUUGCAGUUUAUUGUAUGAUUUGAGCCCACAGGGUUACCAGUUGAUACCUUCUCAUCAGAAAUUGGUGGCAUGGAUCCAUGUGAGCCUUAUCAAUUCCAUGGACAACUAUUAUCAUUUGGUUCCUGUAAAGUGCCUCAGUCUACACAAUAAGGUUGAUCCAUGUGGACUUAUAGCCAUUGGCAGGUCACUGAAGUUGCCUCGUCACAAUUGGACAUAGCCCAAGAUAGGACAACCAGUCAUUUGAUGCAUCAGGUUCAUUUUUAUGCAUUCACCUGGAUGACCUCAGUGAAGAGCGUAUUAAUGAACCGAUUUAUUUGAAAGUGGAACAAAUGUGCAGGAAGAAGCAGAUAAUGUUCUGGUUGGUGCAGUUUGAUUUUGAAUGUCAUGCCAAAGAAGAAUACGCAAGUGCCCCAGCCUACAACGUUCCUCCAAGGUCUCUGCAUCGACAAUUACGCGUCUUGCCUAUAGUAACUGAACCCUUCACCACAGUUGAUUUACAAAUAGGGUAGAUCACAUUAUAUGAGGUUCUUGGAAAGUAAUUUGUAUGUCUUAAAAUGUUAAUAUGUAUUUGGAAUGUGUGUAUGGGAAAAAAUGGCAGUAUAGGUGAGAUUACAAUAUUGCUAAUUUAUCAUUUGGUGGAUUUGUAAGCAAAUUUAUGUACUUGUUUUCUGUAAGAAAACAGGAAAUGCAUGUAUUAAAAAUACAAUUUAUUUUUUGAUAUGUAUACCCAUUUUGAGAAUAAAUUUGCACUGAAGUUAAGGA